CGGUAAUAUGGGACACAUGGGAGCCUGAGGAAACUCCUGCUCCACCAGAGGAGCCCCAGGGCUGGGGGGAUGACGGUACCCUGCCGGUGCGUGCUGCUGGCUGGGAUGAUGACGGUAUAGCUGCUGCCACGGCAGGCUGGGAUGACGAUGGCUCUCUGCCUGUGAAGGUGGAUGACUCCUGGGGGGAUGAUGGUGAUGCUGAUGCUACAUCCGUAGCCCCAGCCACUGCUUCCGCUGCCGUGGCCGAUUCUGAGGCCGCUGGCUGGGAUGAUGAGGAGGAGGGGGUGCCCCAGGCUGACACACUUACGGCACCUGCAGCCCCUACACCUGCAGCCCCUACACCUGCAGCCCCUACACCUGCAGCCCCUACACCUGCAGCCACAGCACCAGAAGAGGUACCCAGUCAAAGACA